UGUACAAGACUAAAAGCCAUGCUUCUCCUGU
rnacentral:piRNA from 1 species